rnacentral:rRNA from 1 species
GACGAACGCUGGCGGCGUGCUUAACACAUGCAAGUCGAGCGGUAAGGCUCCUUCGGGAGUACACGAGCGGCGAACGGGUGAGUAACACGUGAGCAAUCUGCCCUUCACAUCGGGAUAACUCCGGGAAACCGGUGCUAAUACCGAAUACGACCACUUCAGGCAUCUGAUGGUGGUGGAAAGUUCCGGCGGUGAAGGAUGAGCUCGCGGCCUAUCAGCUUGUUGGUGGGGUAACGGCCCACCAAGGCAACGACGGGUAGCCGGCCUGAGAGGGUGACCGGCCACACUGGGACUGAGACACGGCCCAGACUCCUACGGGAGGCAGCAGUGGGGAAUAUUGGACAAUGGGCGAAAGCCUGAUCCAGCAACGCCGCGUGAGGGAUGACGGCCU